rnacentral:sRNA from 1 species
UCACACAAAGAAACAAGUUGCCUUAGG